rnacentral:misc_RNA from 1 species
UCGGUUAUUAGUCGCAUACACAUGACAUACCCUGGCCCGUAAACAUACAUAAGUCCAAUCUUCGAGGAGAGGGUUCCCAAUAUCUAUGUUACCCUAGGAGUAAUCGUCAAUGGUUAACGACAUUCUCAUAAAAGUGAUCUAAUUUGUUUAUCCUUUGUGGGAUUUUCCUCCUAAAACCUUCACCAUAAAUAGCUUCUCCCUUGGCUUUCUUCAUCAGAAUUUCAUAAGCUAUCGAAGUGUCCACAGUGUUUUAUUGAAAUUUGUGAUUAAUUAUUAAAUCGUGAAAAUGCGUGCAUUGAAAAUUAUGUUGAAAGUAUGCCACCGUGAAAAAUUGAAAUAUAUUUCGAUUCCAGCUAAAGCAUCUUUGUCGAAACUCUUAAGAAAAAUUCGAAGGAAAUUCAAAGUGAGUAACAAAUACAACUUGGAUCUACGCACUGACUAUGGAGCAACAUUUACGGAGGAGUUUUACCGAGAGUUUGUUGAUACGUUCCCGGCAAGUAACCGUAUCUUACACCUCGAAGCGAAUGUCCCAAAGGAAGUUAAAUCAAAUCCCAUUCAACAUAUUGAAAAUCCGCGGAAAAGGAAGCGGGAGGACGACGUAACCUCUAAUACUGAGAGUGAAUAUACCCCGCCUCGUUUCACGGAAGCAGAUAUAGCGAAACGCACAAAAGAUAUGUGGGCAGCUCCCCUGAUGAGGCAAAAUUGUUUUAUAGGUAAAAUGCCAGAGGGUAAAUGCAGUUAUUCCAAGAGAUUUACAACUUACAGAAGUUCACGGAUUUUCAGUGUUAAAAAUCACCCAGCGGCAUCAAAAGCUUUUCAUUGAUAAAUAUGCAAGGUAAAACUAUCCAUACAAACAAAUAACAGGUGGCAAAUAAAUACAUGCAUCUACCAUAUAUUAAAACGGCUAACUUUGAGGAUCCAGGUCAACUUAAUCCUAGGUGCGUUUUUGGCAGUCAAAUCAAGAUCAUAAUCA